CAGGGAAUUUUGCGCAAUGGGCGAAAGCCUGACGCAGCAACGCCGCGUGGGGGAUGAAGGCUCUUGGGUCGUAAACCCCUUUUGCCGGGGAAGAUAAUGACGGUACCCGGAGAAUAAGCCACGGCUAACUACGUGCCAGCAGCCGCGGUAAUACGUAGGUGGCAAGCGUUGUCCGGAUUUAUUGGGCGUAAAGGGCGCGCAGGCGGUUCGUUUAGUCUCGGGUGAAAUCUCCUGGCUCAACUGGGAGGGGUCUCGGGAUACUGGCGGACUUGAGGAGAGCAGAGGUGAGUGGAAUUCUGGGUGUAGUGGUGAAAUGCGUAGAUAUCCAGAGGAACACCAGUGGCGAAGGCGGCUCACUGGGCUCCACCUGACGCUGAGGCGCGAAAGCGUGGGGAGCGAACCGG
rnacentral:rRNA from 1 species